rnacentral:rRNA from 1 species
GGUGAUUUGUUGGACGCUAGCGGCGGAUGGGUGAGUAACACGUGGGCAAUCUGCCCUAAAGACUGGGAUACCACUUGGAAACAGGUGCUAAUACCGGAUAACAACAUGAAUCGCAUGAUUCAAGUUUGAAAGGCGGCGCAAGCUGUCACUUUAGGAUGAGCCCGCGGCGCAUUAGCUAGUUGGUGGGGUAAAGGCCUACCAAGGCAAUGAUGCGUAGCCGAGUUGAGAGACUGAUCGGCCACAUUGGGACUGAGACACGGCCCAAACUCCUACGGGAGGCAGCAGUAGGGAAUCUUCCACAAUGGACGCAAGUCUGAUGGAGCAACGCCGCGUGAGUGAAGAAGGUCUUCGGAUCGUAAAGCUCUGUUGUUGGUGAAGAAGGAUAGAGGCAGUAACUGGUCUUUAUUUGACGGUAAUCAACCAGAAAGUCACGGCUAACUACGUGCCAGCAGCCGCGGUAAUACGUAGGUGGCAAGCGUUGUCCGGAUUUAUUGGGCGUAAAGCGAGCGCAGGCGGAAUGAUAAGUCUGAUGUG